rnacentral:tRNA from 1 species
GCCCUUAUCGUCUAGAGGCCUAGGACUCUUGAUUCUCAAUCAAGCAACACCAGUUCGAAUCUGGUUAAGGGCA